UGGGGAAUAUUGCGCAAUGGGCGAAAGCCUGACGCAGCGACGCCGCGUGGGUGAUGAAGGCCUUCGGGUCGUAAAACCCUGUCGGGUGGAACGAAUCUCCAUUCUGCAAAUAGUGGGAUGGAUUGACGGUACCACCGAAGGAAGCCCCGGCUAACUACGUGCCAGCAGCCGCGGUAAUACGUAGGGGGCGAGCGUUGUUCGGAUUUACUGGGCGUAAAGAGCGCGUAGGUGGUCCAAUAAGUCGGAGGUGAAAUCCCUCGGCUCAACCGAGGAUCCGCGUCCGAUACUGUCGGACUUGAGUGCAGGAGAGGAGAGCGGAAUUCCCAGUGUAGCGGUGAAAUGCGUAGAUAUUGGGAGGAACACCGGUGGCGAAGGCGGCUCUCUGGACUGCUACUGACACUGAGGCGCGAAAGCUAGGGGAGCAAACGGG
rnacentral:rRNA from 1 species